UGCAUCCCAACACCAAGUACCAUGUGACCGUGAGGGCCUACAACCGGGCUGGCACUGGGCCUGCCAGCCCUUCUGCCAACGCCACGACCAUGAAGCCCCCUCCGCGGCGACCUCCUGGCAACAUCUCCUGGACUUUCUCAAGCUCUAGUCUUAGCAUUAAGUGGGACCCUGUGGUCCCUUUCCGAAAUGAGUCUGCAGUCACCGGCUAUAAGGUGAGGAAGCAAUCAGCUAGGCCCAGAAUGGGAAGGAACAGCUCCUCUGUGUUUCCAGUGAACAUAAGCAGCAGCAAUUUAUAGCAAGAGGCAUCUGAGUGAGACAUAAGCAAAGGGUUUGUGACUGUGAGAGGAAUGAAAUUCAUGAACUAUUCUCUCAGUAACUUGCAGUAGAAACUAUAAAAACGGGCAGAUGGUAUCACUGCAGAAAGGCAGAGUUCACAGGGGCAGUGAUGGACUAUGGGGAUGGAGUAUGGGGGUUCUUCUAGCUUAAGGAGUCUACGGAAACAGUUCAGUGGCCUGCAAGCUUUCCUCCACCAAUGAGGAGCUUUGUCAAUGGGGAGGAGGGGUGAGGAGGCUGGACCUCAAGAGCC
rnacentral:lncRNA from 1 species